rnacentral:rRNA from 1 species
AUUGAACGCUGGCGGCAUGCUUUACACAUGCAAGUCGAACGGCAGCACAGCAGAGGUAACUCUGUGGGUGGCGAGUGGCGAACGGGUGAGUAAUACAUCGGAACGUACCCUGUUGUGGGGGAUAACUACGCGAAAGCGUAGCUAAUACCGCAUACGCCCUGAGGGGGAAAGCGGGGGACCCUAAAUAGAGCGCACUGGGGAGUGCGUUGUAUUUAGGGCCUCGCGCAAUAGGAGCGGCCGAUGUCGGAUUAGCUAGUUGGUGAGGUAAAGGCUUACCAAGGCGACGAUCCGUAGCUGGUCUGAGAGGAUGAUCAGCCACACUGGGACUGAGACACGGCCCAGACUCCUACGGGAGGCAGCAGUGGGGGAAUUUUGGACAAUGGGGGCAACCCUGAUCCAGCCAUGCCGCGUGAGUGAAGAAGGCCUUCGGGUUGUAAAGGCUCUUUCGGACGGAAGAAAUACGCGCAGGUAAAUAAUACUG